ensembl:lincRNA Gm45081 predicted gene 45081
CUCGGAUAACCGAUCUUGUAUUUGAUACUGAUUGGACAUUGAGGCUCAAGAGAUUUGAAACCUCCUGGAGAUGAGAUUUGAGUCCCGCCCUUGUCACCGGGCCCUAAAGGUUUGCAGCAUAGAUUCCCCUCCCCUAACGUGCGGAAAGCGAUCUACUUAGAAUUCCUUUCUUCUGAUCCACUGUCUCAAGGGAAGGAAUUAAUGUAGUAAUGACUUCAACUUAGGCUCUUAUGUGUUACAUUACCACAGUUUUUGUAAUGGUUCUCUGCAACAUACUAGGAAGGCAAUAAAGGAGAUAGCUGCGAUUUGAAAAGGAACUGAUGGAAUCAAGUUUCCAUAGAUUAAUGGGAUUAAGAAGGUGAGAACUCUGUGGUGUUUAAAGGUGGGAUCCUUUGGGAAACUACUAUAUGAGGUCAAUGUGGGUGUCCCCAGAGAAAAAGAGACUAGAUUUCUGUGCACCCCACCGUGAGAUGACUCAGCCUGAGGAGCCUGAUGGAAUCUAUACGGUGCUGUACCAAGCUUGAGGACUUUGAAUCUCCAAAAUGGAAAUAAAACUCACUGUGUCAUAAAAA